rnacentral:snoRNA from 13 species
UCUGAUCAAUGAUCGAUACUUUUUAAAAUGUGACUGUUGGAUGAAACAUGCGGAUAUGGGACUGAGAUCAGAA